GCCUUCGUGGUGUAAUGGUAGCACACUCGGCGUGCAUUCGAGAGGUCCAGGUUCGAGUCCCGGUGAGGGCA
rnacentral:tRNA from 1 species